CCUACGGGUGGCAGCAGUGGGGAAUAUUGGGCAAUGGGCGCAAGCCUUACCCAGCAAUGCCGCGUGAGUGAAGAAGGUCUUCGGAUUGUAAAGCUCUUUGAUCAGGGACGAAAAGAUGACGGUACCUGAAGAACAAGCCCCGGCUAACUACGUGCCAGCAGCCGCGGUAAAACGUAGGGGGCCAGCGUUGUACGGAAUGACUGGGCGUAAAGGGUGCGUAGGCGGGAUAAUAAGUUAGAAGGGAAAUACCCAGGGCUUAACUCGGGUGCUGCAUCUAAGACUGUUGAGCUUGAGUGCGGGAGAGGUUGAUGGAAUUCCUGGUGUAGCGGUGGAAUGCGUAGAGAUUAGGAGGAACACCGGAGGCGAAUGCGAUUAACUGGACCGUAACUGACGCUGAGGCACGAAAGUGUGGGGAGCAAACAGGAUUAGAUACCCGAGUAGUC
rnacentral:rRNA from 1 species